rnacentral:siRNA from 1 species
GAAUUCCCUUGUAGAGUGCUUACU